AAGCACUUUAGGAGCUUCACCUAAGGGCGGUAGCGUG
rnacentral:ncRNA from 1 species